rnacentral:rRNA from 1 species
CGAGCACGCGCGUGUGGCAUAUCAAUAAGCGGAGGAAAAGAAACUAACAAGGAUUCCCUUAGUAACGGCGAGUGAAGCGGGAAGAGCUCAAAUUUGAAAUCUUCAAGGUUCUACCUUGACGAAUUGUAGUUUAUAGAAGUGUUUUCUGUUAGUGGAGUGGCAAAAGUUCUUUGGAAUAGGACAUCAUAGAGGGUGAGAAUCCCGUAUUUGGUCAUUCCUCCUAGCGUUGUGAUACACUUUCAACGAGUCGGAUUGUUUGGGAAUGCAGUCCGAAAAUGGGUGGUAAAUUUCAUCUAAAGCUAAAUAUUGGCGAGAGACCGAUAGCGAACAAGUACCGUGAGGGAAAGAUGAAAAGAACUUUGAAAAGAGAGUUAAACAGUACGUGAAAUUGUCAAAAGGGAAGCGUUUGACACCAGUGUUGUUUUUCCGAAAAUCAAUUACGAAUGUUUUGUUUUUAAGGAGUUAUGACUUCAUCGGCUUGCUUCUUUCUUUACUGAAACUUUCUUAAUGCACUUUUCGGUUAACAAGUCAACAUCAAUUUCUUUUGUUGUAAAAGGGUAUGAGGAAGGUGGCUUGCGCUUCCGGAUAAAGUGUUUAUAGCCUUGUAUCCUCUGCAAUCGGAGAGAUUGAGGUCUGCAGCGUAGAUCCUUCGGGGUUAGAUACAUUUGCGCUAAGCUAUAGUUCUUUCAUAGACAACUUGUUGACUAUAGUCAAGUCCUGUAGCUUACUCGCUUAUGCUAUUUUACCUACGCUUAGGAUGUUGAUGUGAUACUGCGAGCA